CGCCUAACAGCUAGCCCCUCAAACUACUUUCACCACACAUACACAAUUACCCCCUAAGACCCUAAAUUGAAGACAACAAACCAUUUUUCCCCUUUAGUAUGGGAGACAGAAAAAGAACCUCGGAGCAAUAGAAAAAGUACCGCAAGGGAACGCUGAAAGAGAAAUGAAACAAACCAGUAAAGCCUAAAAAAGCAGAGACUUUCCCUCGUACCUUUUGCAUCAUGAAUUAGCCAGAAACCUUUAAGCAAAAUGAAUUUUAGUUUAACUCCCCGAAACUAAGUGAGCUACUCCAAGACAGCCUAACACAAAGGGCGCACCCGUCUCUGUGGCAAAAGAGUGGGAAGAGCUUCGAGUAGUGGUGAUAAGCCUACCGAACUUAGUUAUAGCUGGUUGCCUGAGAAAUGAAUAGAAGUUCAGCCUCUUUUCUUCUCCCCUCACUAUUGGCCCAGCCUAUAGUCCAGAGCAAAAGAAGUUAAGAGAGUUAGUCAAAGGAGGGACAGCUCCUUUGAAAAAGAUACAACUUUAGUAGGUGGGUAAGGAUCAAAUUAAUUAAGGCUAAAUGUCCCGGUGGGCCUAAAAGCAGCCACCCCAAAAGAAAGCGUUAUAGCUCAAACAUUAACCCAGCCAUCAAUCCUGAUAUAACCUUCCAACCCCCCUUAGCCUACCAGGCCUUCCUAUAUUUUAUAGGAGCGAUAAUGCUAGUAUGAGUAAUAAGAGACACGACUCUCUCCAAGCACAAGUGUAAAUCAGAACGAACCCCCACUGAAAAUUAACGGCCCCAAACAAAGAGGGAACUGGACCAAAAAAGAGACCACUAGAAAACCUUCCAACACUAACCGUUACCCCCACACUGGAGUGCCCCCGGAAAGACUAAAAGGAGAAGAAGGAACUCGGCAAAAAUAAUUAAAGCCUCGCCUGUUUACCAAAAACAUCGCCUCUUGCUAUAAAACAUAAGAGGUCCCGCCUGCCCGGUGACAAAUAGUUCAACGGCCGCGGUAUUUUGACCGUGCAAAGGUAGCGCAAUCACUUGUCUUUUAAAUGAAGACCCGUAUGAAUGGCACCACGAGGGCUUAACUGUCUCCUCCUCCCAGUCAAUGAAAUUGAUCUCCCCGUGCAGAAGCGGGGAUAAGCACAUAAGACGAGAAGACCCUUUGGAGCUUUAGACAACAAGUAGACCAUGUCCCUGCCCCCAAAUAAAAGGAAUGAACUAAUUGGACCCUGCCCUCCUGUCUUUGGUUGGGGCGACCGCGGGGAAACAAAAAACCCCCAUGUGGAAUGGGAGACCCUCUCCUAUAACCAAGAGCCACAGCUCUAAGUUUCAGAACUUCUGACCAAAAAGAUCCGGCAAUGCCGAUCAACGAACCGAGUUACCCUAGGGAUAACAGCGCAAUCCCCUUUUAGAGCCCAUAUCGACAAGGGGGUUUACGACCUCGAUGUUGGAUCAGGACAUCCUAAUGGUGCAGCCGCUAUUAAGGGUUCGUUUGUUCAACGAUUAAAGUCCUACGUGAUCUGAGUUCAGACCGGAGUAAUCCAGGUCAGUUUCUAUCUAUGAAAUGUCCCCUUCUAGUACGAAAGGACCGAAGAGAAGAGGCCCCUACUAAAAGCACGCCUCCCCCUAACCUGAUGAAAUCAACUAAAACAGACAAAAGGGCAUAUUUACCCGUCUCAGAAAAUGACAU
rnacentral:rRNA from 1 species